rnacentral:lncRNA from 1 species
AUGAACACACAGAAGUAAAUAUGAAAAGAAAAUAGGUGAGAGGGGAAAGAACUUUCGAUAGAAAUUUUGGCAGCAAAGAGAAUAAAUUCAAAACAUCAAAAGAUUAGGAGCAAACGAGAUUUGGGAAAAGAAACAGUUAUCAUUCGGUUGGGAAGAAAAAGAAAAAAAAUAAAAGAUGAAAACAGAGAAAAAACCAAAAGCAGAAACGACAAAACUAUCAGAAAAAUGAGGAUGAGAGAGGGUAGCCAAGAUUGCCACUACUAGUUUCGGUUCUAUCCAAACUCCUCCAUCCAAAUAUGCACAAAACACUUCCCUUAAUCCCCAAAUCCCUUAACAACUGAAAUUCCCUCAAUAUCCUCUUAAAAAUCAGCCAUAACAUCUCCAUACUCCUCAAAUACUCAGAAUUUUACCACAUUUCAAACUCCUUCAUGACACAUGUACAAAAAAACAUCCCACUUGCAGGUACAGAGAUUCAAACUGAAGACCCCUAGCACUCCAACAC